AUCGCUUCUCGGCCUUUUGGCUAAGAUGAAGUGUAGUAUCUGUUCUUAUCAGUUUAAUAUCUGAUAUGUAUCCUAUCUGUAGACUAAAUGUUAAAUUGGUUUUUGGAACAUGGGAUAGGAAUAGGGGCUUGCUUCAUCCGCUCCACGCAUUGACCUGGUAUUGCAGUAUUUUCAGGAAUGGUGCACCUUCA
ensembl:snRNA U2 U2 spliceosomal RNA